AUAAAUAGAACAAUAAUAAAAUUAAUAAAUUUUUCAACUUUCUUGUGGGUAUUCUUAAAAUUUAGUUUCAUUACUCUACACGUACAGUUUUGAUAUGCAUAUGUAUGAUAAUUCUCUCACCUACGCUGGAGCACAGCAACAAGAAAUCAGAGAGCCCAGGAACCCCCACCCCAGUUCAUAUUUUCACCUUCCAUCUUCCUUAUAUCACUAUAUUCAAACCCUAUACUAAACGGCCAAUCAGAACUCUCUUGACCCCAUGCCCAAAUGCUCUCUUCACCAUUCCCUGCUCCUUACCACCUCAAUUUGCAAACGUCUCUCUGCAAUCCCAAGUAAGCUUUCUUUUUCUUUCCCCUUCUCGUUUAAUCAAACCCAUCAAACAAAAUCANNN
rnacentral:lncRNA from 1 species